rnacentral:rRNA from 1 species
UACGUAGGGUGCAAGCGUUAAUCGGAAUUACUGGGCGUAAAGCGUGCGCAGGCGGUUUUGUAAGACAGAUGUGAAAUGCCCGGGCUUAACCUGGGAACUGCAUUUGUGACUGCAAGGCUAGAGUGUGUCAGAGGGGGGUAGAAUUCCACGUGUAGCAGUGAAAUGCGUAGAUAUGUGGAGGAAUACCGAUGGCGAAGGCAAUCCCCUGGACCUGUACUGACGCUCGUGCACGAAAGCGUGGGGAGCAAACAGG